rnacentral:rRNA from 1 species
AUUGAACGCUGGCGGCAGGCCUAACACAUGCAAGUCGAACGAGUGGCGGACGGGUCACUAAUGUCUGUGAAACUGCCUGAUGGAGGGGGCUAACUACUGGACACGGUAGCUAAUACCGCCUACCAUCAAAUGCGCCCACAUGGGAUUCGCUAGUUGGUGGGGUAACGGCUCACCAAGGCGACGAUCCCUAGCUGGUCUGAGAGGAUGACAAGCCACAAUGGAACUGAGACACGGUCCAGACUCCUACGGGAGGCAGCAGUGGGGAAUAUUGGACAAUGGGCGCAAGCCUGGUGCAGCCAUGCCGCGUGUAUGAAGAAGGCCUUCGGGUUGUAAAGUACGUUCAGCGGUGAGGCGUUACCCGCAGAAGAAGCACCGGCUAACUCCGUGCCAGCCGCCGCGGUAAUAC